ACAUAUAUUCACUUCCCGUAUGAGACAUUUAGAAGUUUUGUUCUUCAACCAAAUUUUCUAAAAUGUCUUUCUACUUUGAUUCAAGAGAGUGGAUGGAUCAAAGGAUUGAUCCUCAGAGUAAUUCUGUUUCAGAAGUGUUUCUUGGAGGCAUCAAUGCAUUUCUUCAAUUUGCGUGUAAUCAAGCCGAUUAUGAAGAGCGGCAAACAUUAUUGUGUCCGUGUGCUCGAUGCAAAAAUGUGAAGCAACGAGAUGCAAAAGUUGUUUCAAGACAUCUAUUCUUAUACGGUUUUAAGGGAAAUUAUUAUGUUUGGACAAGUCAUGGAGAGAAAUUCUACACUGUUGGUGAGAGUUCUGGAGCGAAUCAUUCAACGGGUGAAGAAGAAAUGUGGGAAAAUCCUAAUUGGAAUGCUCAUGAAGAUCACUACCAGGAUAAUUUAGAAGUACCAGCGGACAUUGCGCCACCAUACAUACCAGCAGACAUUGCACCACCAGCAGAGACGGAUGUGGCAGAGCCAUAUCGUGACAAUGUUUUUGAAGCAUUUGAAGCUGCCAGUCAACCUCUCUACGAAGGGUGUGCAGACGGAAUAAGUCAGUUCUCUCUUACUUCGCGGAUGUUGAAAAUGAAGACGGAUUAUAAUUUGGCGGAAACUUGUGUAGAUGAGAUAUCUGAAGUAUUUAAAACAAUGCUUCCGCAGCCGAAUAAUGCUCCAGCAACAUACUACGAGACAAAGAAACUGACACGAGGGCUUGGUUUACCCGUUCAGAAGAUUGAUGUUUGUGUGAAGAAUUGUAUGCUAUUUUGGAAAGAAGAUGCGAAGUUGGUUAGUUGUAGGCUUUGUGGAGAAGAUCGCUACUAUCCGAACAAUGGAAAAGGAAAAAACAAGCCAAAGCAGAGAAUGUUUUACAUGCCUAUUGCAGAUCGUCUGAAACGUCUAUACCAACUUGAGGCGACAGCUUCCAAUAUGCGGUGGCAUAAGGAACAUGUGACUCCGGAAGGCGAAAUGCAUCACCCAUCUGAUGCUAUAGCGUGGAAACAUUUUAACGAGGUAUAUCCUGGAUUUGCUGCUGAAAGCCGGAAUAUUUAUCUAUGCCUAUCGACCGAUGGAUUUAAUCCGAUUGGUAUGAAUGGGGAAGCACAUUCCCUUUGGCCCGUUAUUGUAACUCCAUACAAUUUACCGCCGGGAAUGUGUAUGAAAAGAGAAUUCCUUUACCUUUCGGUGCUAAUUCCUGGACCCAAACACCCAAGAAAAAGCUUAGAUAUUUACAUUCAACCAUUGAUUGAAGAAUUACAGAUGUUGUGGAGGAAUGGUGUGGAGGCAUAUGAUAUUUCAAUGAAAGAAAGAUUCAAAAUGCGAGCAGUUUUGAUGUGGACGAUAAGCGAUUUUCCAGCUUAUGGAAUGCUUUCAGGUUGGACGACUCAUGGUCGGUUGGCGUGCCCAUAUUGUCAAGAUGAGACUGGUGCAUUCUGGUUAUCUAACGGAAGGAAACAUAGAUGGUUUGAUUACCAUAGAAGGUUCUUAGAUGCAAAUCAUCCUUACCGGAAAAACACUCAAGCAUUUAGACGGGGAAAAACAGUUUUAGAUCCUCCUCCACCAUGGUUGACCGGAGAAGAAAUAUUGCGUGAAAGGAUAAAUAAUAUCGAAGGUUUAUCAUCAUCUGUGGAAUGUGGAGGGAAUGGACAUGAUAACCCAUCCAAGACAAUAUCUGGAUAUGGAGUUACUCACAAUUGGGUAAAGAAGAGUAUCUUCUGGGAGUUACCGUAUUGGGAAAAUCAUCUUCUUCGGCAUAGCCUUGAUUUCAUGCAUAUUGAGAAAAACUUCUUCGACAACCUGACGAACACAUUGUUAAAUGCUCCUGGAAAGACGAAAGACAACAUCAAAAGCAGAUUGGAUCUUCCAGGACUAUGCAAAAGGCGGGAUUUAGAGAUGAAGGAGGAUGGAACGAUGCCUGUGCCAAUAUUCAGGCUGCCUAAUGCGGAAAAACGAGCAUUUCUUCUCUGGUUGAAAAAUGACAUAAAAUUUCCCGAUGGAUACGCCUCGAAAUUUAGUCGAUGUAUUGACGAAAACAAUUUAAAGUUACAUGGACUGAAAAGUCAUGAUUGUCAUGUCAUAAUGGAACGACUAUAUCCAUUUGCGUUUGCUGAACUCCUUCCCAAAAAUGUUCACACAGCGAUUAGAGGUAUUUAUUUGUUUGUAUCAUUUUUUAAUUUACUAUAAUUGAUGCUAUAAUUAACUUAAAUAUUUUGUUUACAGAUAUUGCUCUCUUCUUCCGAGAUAUCUCUUCGAAGAUUUUGAAAGAGUCAGAUGUUGGCCUAUUAAAGGCAAAUAUCGGUGUGAAGCUUUGUAACUUGGAAAAAAUAUUUCCUCCAUCGUUCUUCGAUGUUAUGGAACAUCUUCUUGUGCACCUCCCAGAUGAAGUAGCCUUAGGUGGUCCUGUCCAUUUUAGGUGGAUGUAUGUAUUUGAGAGAUACAUGUAUCAUUUGAAGCAGAUGGUCAAAAACAAAGCACGUAUUGCAGGUUCAAUAGUUGCACAAUGGAUAAAUGAGGAGAUUUCUAAUGCGUCCUCAAAUUUUUUUGGGCAUCCUGAAAUCAUGAGCAUUCCAGAAGGUCCGAAUGAUAUUCGUUUCACAUACAAUUAUCCGGAUGUACCCCCCUUGUUUUACCAUGAAGGGAGAAUUAGUGGUCAAUGCUCAACUGGUUGGUUGAAUGAUGAAGAUAACACUAUUCUUCAGACAUUUAUGAUGCUCAACUGUGAAACAUUUGCUCCAUAUGAAAGGUAAUUUAAUAUUAUGAAGAAUAUAAUAUAAAUACAUAUUUCUAGUUACAUAACUAUGAUUUGUCUGUGUGCAGGAUGUUUGAAGAAUAUAUGACGUUAAAUGUUCCUGAUAUUACUCCAGUUGCAAUGCAAAAAGCGAAAGACACCAAAUUUGCUGAUUGGUGCAAGGACUACGUGAGUUAUUGUUUUAUAUUAUAAAGUUUCACAAUUUUUUUAAUUAAAUUUGUAUUUUAUAACAAUGUUAUUGUAUUACAGAUUAAUGAUGCGAUUCAGUUUUACACAUUUCCUAUGUGGAUGUUGGAUUUUGUACAAGGUCCAAGGCGUAGUUACAGGUCUUGGCCAAUAUACCACACACGUGGAUACACUUUCCACACUCAUAACCAUGGUCAAAAUAAGAGAACUCAACAUUAUGGUGUAUGUGUACCUGGAACCAACGAGACAGACUACUAUGGUCUUGUACAAGAGAUCAUGAUGGUAGAGUAUCAUGGUGAUGUUGGCUUGAAAGUCAUGGUUUUUAAAUGUUCGUGGUUUGACAACACAACAAAUCGCGGUAUGAGAAUACAUCCAUUUGGUCUUGUUGAUGUCUCACCACGAAGACAAUAUGCAAAAUAUGAUCCUUUUGUAUUAUCAGGUAAGUGAAAAAUAUAUAAUUAUUUCUUUGGGAUUUGAUAUUAUUGAUGAAACUAUGAUGUUAUUGUACUAUAAACAGGUAAUUGUGAUCAAGCAUGUUUUAUUCCUUAUCCACGGGUACGUCGACAGUCAGUCGAUGAUUGGUGGGCAUGCGCAAAAAUUAUUCCCCGAGGAAUCCGUGAAACACCAGAAAUUGCGUUAACGGCAUGGCAAGAUGAUAGACGUGAUCAGGUUGCUGAAAGUUCAUUGUUACGGGUGGAGACACAUGUUGUUGAUGAUGUGUCUGAUUAUGAUAUUGCUCCGGUGAAUCCUCCAAACGAUGAAUAUGUAUCUGAUGGUGAUGUAGAAGCAGACCGUGAUUCAGAUGAUGAUUCAGAAUAGAAAACUAUAUUCCAAGACUGUAAAAUAUGUGUUUAAGGUAGUAAGAUAUGUUUUAAGGUUGAAAAAUAAGUUGUAAGGUUGUAAAAUAAGUUGUAAGGUUGAAAAAUAAGUUGUAAGGUUGUGAAAUAUAUUGUGAGAUGUAAAAUAAAUGGUAAGGUUGUAAAAUAUAUGGUUUAAACAAAUAUUGUAAGGUUUUAAAAUAGAUUGUAAGAUUUUUGGAAUAUGUAUGUAAGUUGUUGUGUGAGUAUAAGGUUGAGGGAAAGGGUUUAAGGAUUAUAGUUUAGGUGUUAGAUGUUCGUGGUUUCGGGUUUUGAAAUAAGCCACGCUUAUUUCGUGGCUUUUUAGUGGCUAUGUGAAAAUUGGAAAAAACCAAUUGGUUUGCCUCCAAUGUAUUUGGUUCUGGCUCCAAUUAUUUUUAGUUUCGCGGUUUAUAUUAAAAAUAGCCACUACAUUUUUGUGGCAUUGUCGUGGCUAAUUGGAAAUUUUGGUUUGCCAAUUGGUUUGCCUCCAAUUUAUUCGGUUGUGGCUCCAAUUAUUUGACAUUUCGUGGUUAAUGCUAAAACCAAACCACGAUCUGCCACGCUGUUUUCGUGGCUCUGCUGAAAGAGUUUAUAUCGGUUUUCCUCUUGCUUCUAACACUUAGCACAGAAGAGAAACCGAAACUCUCUCUCGACUCGCGACUGACGAAACGCGUCGUCUUCUCCGGUUUCAAGUCUCCCAUUCCAAGCGUCACCGUCUCCCAUUCCAAGCGUCACCGUCUCCCGUCUCUCAUUUCUCAAGGUAACCUCUUUCUCUCCUCCGCUAAAUCAGAAAUCUUAGGAUCCCGAAUCGAUUAGAUGUUCUAGGGUUUUGAUUUCUUCGCUUCUGUGUGUGUUUCGAUUUCACAUGCAAUUUAAGGUUUCGAUUUCGUUCCAAUCUAGGGUUUUGAUUUCGUUCCAAACUUGGGUUUCGAUUAGGGGUUUUGUCUCUGUCUAGUUAGUGUUCUUGUGACCAAAAAAAUUGUCUAAAUUUCUCAUGUUCUUCUCUCUGUCUCUUUUGUUUCGCUUUGUCUCUGUUUAUAUUUGUUUGUAUACUAAUGUUUCUUUGUCAUUGGUUGUUAACAGAUGAACUCACCAAGAGUACCUCCUCCUAUGCCUCCUGGUGCUACUGGACCGGCUUCUAUGCCUCCUGGUGCUACUGGACCGGCUUCUAUGCCUCCUGGUGCUACUGGACCGGCUUCGAACCGUGCUGCUUCCUCUUCUCGUUCCAAUAGCUACCCGCGGAUGACUCUCAAUGCCAUGCUCAAUUCACCUGCUAGGCUAGCACAGCCUCAUCUCCAUCCAGAUAAAAUCAAUGGAGCUUUAUGGUAAGAUUACAUUUGGUCUCCAUCUCUUUCUUAGACUAAAAUAGUUUAUGUUAAUUGUUUUAUGGCUGUGAUUGCUUAGGAUAGUUUCUGUUUAGGAUUGUUAGCGAUGAUUGUUUAUUUUUUAGGAUUUUUUGUGAUGUAUUGUUUCUGUUACUGAUGUUGGUUAUCGAUUUAGGUUUGGUAUUGACCCAUGUGUCAACUCUUUCAUUCGGGCAACUUGGCAAGCGUACUACAUGGGGCCUUGGAAGAGUUGGAGGACGGUUCCUGAUGAAAGGAGGGAAUCAUGGUGGCAAACCUUUGUGGUAAGUGACUAGUAUACAUUGUAUAUGCUGUUAACAUGUUUUAAAAUCGCUAACUGUUUUUCUUUCUUUUGUAGCAAAAUUUCUAUUGGGACCCUGAGUUUAAUGACUUAGUCUACGGUCUUUGGAAGAAAGAAACGUGGACAACCAUUGGUGAAAGGAUAAGCAAGAAGAAGAGGCAACAUAAGAAGCCAAAGUACAUCAAUGAAGCUGACUGGACUCUCCUGUUAGAGUAUUGGGCGACCGAGGCAGCUAAAAAGAAGAGCAAGAAGGCUGCAAAAUCUCGCAAGUCUGAUCCUGUGGGUAAAGGCUGCCACAAGCAUAAUGCAGGACCUCGGUCUUUUGCAAGGAUUGAGUAUAACAUGGUAUCUUUCCAUGUCUAUACUCUUAAUAAUGUUCUUUUUUUUUUCUAAUCUACUGUAAUUAUUUUCCUUUUGUGCAGAUGGUGGCUUCUGGUACUAAUGAGAGGCCAUCAUUCACCGACCUAGUUAGGGCGACACACACCAGACCAGAUGGAACUUUUGUGGACUACCGUGCUGAAGAGUUGGUUACUCAAGCCGAGAUGGAAGCCACACAACUCUCUAACACUGACGGAUCACCCGGGAGUCCAAGUGCAUCAUCUACUCCUUCUCGCCUCAAGAUAAACAAAGCUUAUCUCUAAAGGUAUCUUUCAUACACUAGGUUUCAGUUGUUUUAUGUUCUGAUUUGUAUGUGGAUUUGGAUGACUUAGAGCUGCUUAAGAAUGUGGUUGGUUAUUUGCGGGUAGAAUUAGAUAUGACUUAGAGCUGUGCAUGUUCUGUUUAUUUACAGUGAAGAAAGCUUUUAUUAAAAUUGUUUUCUGUUAUGUUCAACAGAAUGCUAAGGGUAAGAGGGGGCAUGUUUAUGGACUCGGCAGUGCCCAAUACAGGGAGCAAGCACCUUCUUCACGCGUCCCUAAUGGUCUUGCGCGCAACCUGGAGCUGGAGAUGCGGGUGGGAGGUCUUGAGACAAGCCUCCAAAGUGUGAGGGAGGACGUGUCUGAGGUGAAGCAGGAUGUGUCCGAGAUGAAGCAGGAGUUUGCAUCAACAAGAGAUGCAAUCAAUCAGCUCCUCCAAAUGCUUCGUCCCCCACAAGCACCUACUGAACAGACUUAUGCUCAGCCCCAAGUCCCAACUCCUCAGCCCUAAGUAGGUUCAUGUCUUCUCUUUUGUAACAAAGCUCAUCAAACUCUAGCUCAUCUUUUGUAGAGUCUUCUUAGACUCUUUAAAACUCUUCUUCCUUGUAUAAUUAUCUAAGUUUGUGUAAUAUUGAACCUACUCUUUUAUAUAUAUGCAAUUUCUGUUUUAAUUAUAUGUGCAAUGUUUUAAUAUUUGAAUGAAAAUAUAAAAUUUUGAAUUUGGAAAAUUAAAACAAAUCAAAGAAGAAAACCAUUUACAAAAAUGGUUAUUAACGUGGCUAACCAAUACCACGUUUAUAAAAAAAAAAUCGUGGCUUUUUAAAGCCACGAAUACAUAGUGGCAAAACCGUGGUAACGACAGCCACUUUAAAUAAGUUGUAAAACCGUGGCUAUUAUAGCCACUAAAACUAGCAACGCUAAAGGAGUUAUUAGCGUGGCUAUUUAAGCCACGAAAAGAAGCGUGGGAAAAGCGUGGCUAAUAGCCACGAAAAGCCACGGUUUAGUUCCAGCCACGAGGCUAUAGCCACGGUAAUUCUCCUUUCCAAAACCGUGACUCUUUUCUCCCAAGCCACGAAUUUCUCCUCUAUAGCCACAGAGUUGUAGUGGCUAUGCGAAAGUUUUUUACUAUUGUAUAUUAAUUUUCGGUUGAGAAGAGGAAGAAACUCUGAAAGGAUAAUGAAUUUGCAAGUGUCUGAUUGACCUGGACCAGGGCAGGCUAUCAAGCCCAUAAAAAUCCUAAAAUGAAGUGCAAUUAUAAAAGAAAACCCUAAACUAGUGAGGGGAAGUCGUGGCUUUUAUUUUAGGGGAUUUGCAUUAGAUAGCAAAAAUAUAGAAGAUAAUUAGGUAGAUGGAUAAGACACUGUACUUUUUUUAGGUAAUACCAAGACUGUCCUUAUUUCCAUACAAAAAGCAAAGCAUAGUACAUGUUACACGUCAGACGUGAUUACUUAAAACAGGCGGUUGCACACAAAAAAUGUCAAUAAUGCAAAGAAUCAAGACUUUCUUUCUCUUUUAUGCAAAAAAAACUAAAGGAAUCUGUAAUAAUAUUAUUCCCCGAAUCAUGUCGAUUCCAAGUCACCGUCAUUAAAAUUGGUCUCUUUUCUCUCCUUAUUACAACGACCUUUGUUGUUUCUUUCAUGUGUGUAAUAACGAACAUGUCCCCUGUUUCUUAUGUUUUCUUCAAGCAAAGUUCGUUUCUUUUCUUUCACUUUUGCUUUUGAUUUUUUUUCUCCUAACGAAAGAAAAAGUUUCAGAUUCAAUUCCCGGUUCCUCCAAACAACCUACGGGAAUAGGUGAGUACGAGAAUCGUAAGAUAAGAGAAAAAAUGUUCGCAAAUCUCAGCCAUUACUCAUCUCCACCGGGAUCACCUAACAAAGUCUCUGUAAGUCGACAAAAAUAGUAUUCAGACAAUUAUACUCGAAUCCGGUUUCUAUACUUUGUACGCGGUUUUUAUGUAUAUACUCAAAUCUGGUUUCUAUUAGUUGUACCCGGUUUUUAUGUAUAGGCAACUAUGGUUUCUUUAUCUUGUACCCGGUUUAUGAUGUUUACAUAUUUUGACCUCCAAGUUUCGGACGCCCAUGUGAAUGAAGAAACCUAUUCGGUAUGAAGGUGUGAUCGGAUACGUUAUGAACAGUGACACGAAUCACAGUUGCAACAAAUCUUCUCUUCUCCUCUUCGAAAAUAUCUUAUCCUCACCGAAAAUAUCUUCUCCUCUUCUCUUCACUUCUCCUCUAUGAAAAUAUCUUAUAACUCUUCUCUCACCAAUUUGGAAAAAUAUAACCGAUUUUAUACACUUGUUUACUUUUUCAAUAGGUUCAAAAAUAAAACUGAUAAAUGGUCAUAACUGUCGGUUGCAGGUUACUUGUAUUAUUCAAUCACGUGUGGUUUCGAGGACAGAAUCAGAAAGAGAUGCGCUAAAUGACAAGAUUCUCAAAUUAUUAAAAAGUUUGCAUAGAUCUGCAAUUACCACGCCAAAUUUUGAUAUUGAGCUAAAUAGGCCUUUAUUUUAUCUAUACCUCUUAUCUCUCCGUCGGCGUUUGCAGACCGGAGGUGGGUGAUUUUCAGUCUGUUUAAUUUGUUUGCCUCAGUGUUGAACUAUGUUAGGCUUAGAAGAGAAAGAGAUGAUGAUGAAGAAGGUGAGGAAGGCGACGCCAGAGUUGGCGACUCUAAAACGAUCGUGUGGUGGGACAUGGACAGCUGUCCGCUCCCAAAUGGUUAUGAGCCAAGUCGAGUCGGUCCGAGAAUAGACACGGAGUUGAAGAAUCAAGGUUACAAUGGUCCGCUCACCAUAAUUGGCAUUGGUAACCUGGAAGGAGUCCCUCAUGACUUUCUGAUAGCGCUCUCUUCUGGUGGAGUCGUUAUUAAACAGCUUCCACUAGGUAAAAAAUCAAUCUCUCAAAAAAAAUUUGAAAAAAUCAGAGGUUUAGACUCUCAACUGGCAUUCAGGAUCCGACAUGAUGAGCUGUGUGCGCCGUGCUUUGUUUUCGAGAGAACCUCGUUUUGAACCUCGUCAAUGAUGCUCAUAACUGCCGUCCAUGCCGAGCUAUUGGAAGAUGUCAUUUGCGUGUUUUUUAAUUGUGGCCCCCGUUACAAUCUUCUGCUGGCUUUUCCAGCCGUUACCGAACAUGCAGACCCAGAGCCUCCAACCCUACUAGUCGACAACUUUGGUGGAGAGUGGGUCUGGGAUAGGCUUGGCUUACUGAAAGAUCCAGGGUCUCCCAACUAUGAUACCAGAAGACAGGACACAGGCUGUGAAUCGCAUUGUUGCGGAUUAUGCGACGAUUUUUCUUCCGACAGCUUUGAUGAUUUCAAAGCCCACUUCGACAGUCCCCAACAUGCAGAUAAGAUGCAUGAGUAUCUUAGUUACCUUGCGGGGAGGUUUAAUCGGGUCUUAGAAAAUUUUGAGUCCGCCGUUAGGCUUGAAGAGGCAAGUUUUUCUUCUUUUCUUCUUCUUCAUUCUUAUUAUAAUACCAGAGUUGUUUUUUCACAUAGAGAUAAUAUCUAAUCUCUGACUCCUACUGUUUCAGUCUUAUCUUGCAAAAGUGGAGGCAAAAAGGCGAGAGUUUGUAACGUGGUUCGGCUUGUAUGAUUCUGAUGAUGAGGAUGAUACUCCCAAGCCUCAGAAGGCAAGUUAGAGUUUCUUUUUUUUUUUAAAUACAUAAAUAUAAAUCUUUUUCUCCAUAAAACAACUCGUCAGCUCUACUCAUUAUUUUGUACAGUCCAAAAGGAGCCGCUUGACGAAGCCUAACUUGGCAAGUUUUUUUCUUAACCAAACAUUCUUUACUUUCUUAAUCAAAACCUGAUUUCUCAUUAACAACUGUAUGAUUGCAGGGGAAAAAAUUCAAGGCCGCCCUUCUUUGCAAGGCUUCCUCUCUUAAGAAGAAGGCUACUGCCAAGCCCAAGAAGCCAUCAAAGGCAAGUUUUUCUAACAAAUCUACUGAUUUCUCAUUAACGACUUUGACUUGCAAAGACAUUUUACAUCUCUCUUUUCCCUUGGUUGUUUGCAGUCAAAAAGGUUGGCUAUUGCAGAAGAAGCUGAGUGUUCCCUUCCAAAGAAUGCUGCUACUACCAUGUCCUCUUAAACAUUUUCCUGCCUUGUCUCUUUGUUGUUGUUUUUAACUUUAUGCUAGCUAAAUACUUUUUUAAAUUUCAUCCAUCCGUAUUACUGCAUUGUUUAUUUGCUUCCAUAUAUAAAAUUUUAAUGGGUUCGCGAAUUGGGCUUUUGCCCGACAUAAUACAGUAAAUUAAAGAAUAAUGGUCAAAAAAUUGUAUAAAAGGGCUUCGAACCAGAGAAAAGGUGGGGUCAAUGAACUAAAAACAGACCAAACAAGCCGACGAACUUUCAGCCAACAACAUGGUUGCGAUAUAUAUAUAUUUAACCUCCGUAUGCGCCUCUGAAGCUAUAAGAAGAGGUGAUAACAAUGUUUGCAUACCUGAUCCGGAUUGGCGGUUGAUUCAUUACGUACUGCUUAUAAAAAAAAAAGAUAAUAAGCCCAUAGAAAGUUUAUAUACUCAUGGAAUGGUCUUUCAUUUAUGGAGACAACGUAACAACGUACUACACAACAACGUUCAUCUCUCUCCUCUACAAGUGUUUAAGCUCAUGGACAGAGACAUCAGGAAUGCCAUCACUGCGAGACAGCACAAGAGGAACUUUCGAGGCCUCAUGUGCCUUUGGAUUAGAUGAGUUCUUCUUCUGAUUCCAUAAGUACUGACUUUCUUGUUUUUUAUCUAAUUUUUGUUAAGAAAUAAGUGUGUAAAAGUCUUAGCUUGUUUAGGACAAACUUUUCAUUUAGUUAAAUGAUAUUUACAGUUUAACAAAAAAAAAAGUUUAUAUAAAGUUAAGUUUUAAGAAACCCUAAAUGGUACGUACUGCUUAUAUAUCUACCUCUGUCGGCGUUUCAAAUCCAACGUUUCAAACCUUAAAGUGAUGAUUGUUUGCAUGGUUUUUAGAUUUUAGUUUUUGGUUUUUGGAUUUUAGUUUUUAGUUUUUAGAUUUUGGUUUUAGUUUUUAGUUUUUGAAUUUUCUGUAGAUUUUAGUUUUUCAAAAAGCUUGAUUGGUGACAUUAGAUUUGGUUUUUGUGUUUUUGAAAUAAAUUAUAUUAUAAAUAUAAAAAUUUUCUUCUAAAAACCAUUAAAAACAAAAAAAAUUAUUAUCACUAAAAUAAAUAAAAUUAUAUUAAAAGUUUAUAAAAUAUAUUAUCGAAUAAAAACUAAUAGCUAUAUUUAAAAUAACUUUAAUUAUAUAUCUUCAAAACAAUUAAUAGCUAAUAUAGUAAAAAAAAAAUAAAAAAAAAUUAAAUUUAAAAUAUGGUAAAAAUAGAAUGACUAUUUAAUAAAUAUAUAAUUCUUAUAAUUAGCAGUUAUAAUUAAUUUAAUAGUAUGAAAUAUUAUUUACAUAAUUAUAAAACUAAUUUAGCUAAACAAAACUCCAAUAACUUAAUUUUAAAAAAAUAUUUUUGUGGAACUCGAAAUUACAUGAAUAUAAUCAUCCACCAUUUUUCAUUCUGAAUAAAUUAUAAUUUUAUUUUUCAUUUUUUUCAUUUUAGUGAUUUAUUGGAUAGUUUAAUUGAUAACAUAAUGGUAAACAAAUGUGUGGGAGUUGAGAAAGGAGAUAAACAUGGAAUAACUAUAAAA